GAAGGGAUGUAUCUAUUAGAUACAAAACCAAUGCCCUUUCGGGGCUUUUUUGGUGAUUCAUGAUAACUUUACGGAUCGCAUAGCCUUGCGCUGGCGACGGUUCAUUCAAAUUUCUGCCCUAUCAACUUUCGAUGGUAAGGUAUUGGCUUACCAUGGUUUCAACGGGUAACGGGGAAUUAGGGUUCGAUUCCGGAGAGGGAGCCUGAGAAACGGCUACCACAUCCAAGGAAGGCAGCAGGCGCGCAAAUUACCCAAUCCCGACACGGGGAGGUAGUGACAAUAAAUACUGAUACAGGGCUCUUUUGGGUCUUGUAAUUGGAAUGAGUACAAUUUAAACCUCUUAACGAGGAACAAUUGGAGGGCAAGUCUGGUGCCAGCAGCCGCGGUAAUUCCAGCUCCAAUAGCGUAUAUUAAAGUUGUUGCAGUUAAAAAGCUCGUAGUUGAAACUUGGGCCUGGCUGGCGGGUCCGCCUCACCGCGUGCACUCGUCCGGCCGGGCCUUCCUUCUGAAGAACCUCAUGCCCUUCACUGGGCGUGCUGGGGAACCAGG
rnacentral:rRNA from 1 species